CCUACGGGGUGCAGCAGUGGGGAAUAUUGCACAAUGGGGGAAACCCUGAUGCAGCGACGCCGCUUGAGUGAAGAAGUAUUUCGGUAUGUAAAGCUCUAUCAGCAGGGAAGAAAAUGACGGUAACUGAUUAAGAAGCCCCGGCUAACUACGUGCCAGCAGCCGCGGGAAUACGUAGGGGGCAAGCGUUAUCCGGAUUUACUGGGUGUAAAGGGAGCGUAGACGGCAGCACAAGUCUGGAGUGAAAUGCCGGGGCUUAACCCCGGAACUGCUUUGGAAACUGUGCAGCUAGAGUGCAGGAGAGGUAAGUGGAAUUCCUAGUGUAGCGGUGAAAUGCGUAGAUAUUAGGAGGAACACCAGUGGCGAAGGCGGCUUACUGGACUGUAACUGACGUUGAGGCUCGAAAGCGUGGGGAGCAAACAGGAUUAGAUACCCCAGUAGUC
rnacentral:rRNA from 1 species